CCUACGGGAGGCAGCAGUGAGGAAUAUUGGUCAAUGGACGAGAGUCUGAACCAGCCAAGUAGCGUGAAGGAUGACUGCCCUAUGGGUUGUACACUUCUUUUAUAUGGGAAUAAAAUGUUCCACGUGUGGCAUUUUGUAUGUACAUUAUGAAUAAGGAUAUGCUAACUCCGUGCCAGCAGCCGCGGUAAUACGGAGGAUCCGAGCGUUAUCCGGAUGUAUUGGGUUUAAAGGGAGCGUAGUUGGGUUGUUAAGUCAGUUGUGAAAGUUUGCGGCUCAAACGUAAAAUUGCAGUUGAUACUGGCAGUCUUGAGUACAGUAGAGGUAGGCGGAAUUCGUGGUGUAGCGGUGAAAUGCUUAGAUAUCACGAAGAACCCCGAUUGCGAAGGCAGUUUACUAAACUGCAACUGACACUGAGGCUCGAAAGUGUGGGUAUCAAACAGGAUUAGAUACCCCGGUAGUC
rnacentral:rRNA from 1 species